rnacentral:rRNA from 1 species
AUGGACAUCUUCGAUGAGUUCUGUGUUGGCUCCAUUGAUCUUGGGCGCCUCAAUUAUGGGAUCAUCUCUCUCAUCCCCAAGGUCCCUGGGUCCGACAUCCGUCAGUUUCGCCCGAUCACGGUGAUUAAUGUGAUCUUCCGGAUCCUGGCCAAAGGGUACGCCAAUAGGGUGACCCUGCUGGCUGACCGGGUGACUCAUCCUAACCAGUCGGCCUUCAUUAAGGACCGGUACAUCCUGGAUGGGGUCCUUGUCCUUCAUGAAGUCCUUCAUGAAGUCCGCAUCAAACGCCUCAAGGUGGUUUUUCUGAAGAUUGAUUUCCACAAGGCGUACGAUACGGUUAGCUGGUCCUUUCUCUGA